rnacentral:ncRNA from 2 species
AGACAGGUUAGUUUUACCCUA